UACGAAGGGGGCUAGCGUUGUUCGGAAUUACUGGGCGUAAAGAGCGUGUAGGCGGCCCGGUAAGUCCGCUGUAAAAGUCAAAGGCUCAACCUUUGAAUGUCAGUGGAUACUGCCGGGCUAGAGUCCGGAAGAGGCGAGUGGAACUCCUGGUGUAGCGGUGGAAUGCGCAGAUAUCAGGAAGAACACCAACGGCGAAGGCAGCUCGCUAGGACGGUACUGACGCUGAGACGCGAAAGCGUGGGGAGCGAACAGG
rnacentral:rRNA from 1 species